rnacentral:tRNA from 1 species
ACGCCGAUAAAUGGCACUUUGUUCGGCCUUCUAAGCCGAGGGUGGGGGGUUCGAGUCCCUCCUGCCGUAC